rnacentral:rRNA from 1 species
UCAUGCCCCUUAUGAUUUGGGCUACACACGUGCUACAAUGGACAAUACAAAGGGCAGCGAAACCGUGAGGUCAAGCAAAUCCCAUAAAGUUGUUCUCAGUUCGGAUUGUAGUCUGCAACUCGACUACAUGAAGCUGGAAUCGCUAGUAAUCGUAGAUCAUCAUGCUACGGUGAAUACGUUCCCGGGUCUUGUACACACCGCCCGUCACACCACGAGAGUUUGUAACACCCGAAGCCGGUGGAGUAACCUUUUAGGAGCUAGCCGUCGAAGGUGGGACAAAUGAUUGGGGUGAAGUCGUAACAAGGUAGCCGUAUCGGAAGGUGCGGCUGGAUCACCUCCUUU